CUUUGCUUCGGAAUAGCCCCGGGAAACUGGGAGUAAUACCGAAUGUGCCCUAUGGGGGAAAGAUUUAUCGGCAAAGGAUCGGCCCGCGUUGGAUUAGGUAGUUGGUGGGGUAAUGGCCUACCAAGCCGACGAUCCAUAGCUGGUUUGAGAGGAUGAUCAGCCACACUGGGACUGAGACACGGCCCAGACUCCUACGGGAGGCAGCAGUGGGGAAUCUUAGACAAUGGGCGCAAGCCUGAUCUAGCCAUGCCGCGUGAUCGAUGAAGGCCUUAGGGUUGUAAAGAUCUUUCAGGUGGGAAGAUAAUGACGGUACCACCAGAAGAAGCCCCGGCUAACUCCGUGCCAGCAGCCGCGGUAAUACGGAGGGGGCUAGCGUUAUUCGGAAUUACUGGGCGUAAAGCGCACGUAGGCGGAUCGGAAAGUCAGAGGUGAAAUCCCAGGGCUCAACCCUGGAACUGCCUUUGAAACUCCCGAUCUUGAGGUCGAGAGAGGUGAGUGGAAUUCCGAGUGUAGAGGUGAAAUUCGUAGAUAUUCGGAGGAACACCAGUGGCGAAGGCGGCUCACUGGCUCGAUACUGACGCUGAGGUGCUAUGA
rnacentral:rRNA from 1 species